CUCAAAUCAGGUAGGACUACCCGCUGAACUUAAGCAUAU
rnacentral:rRNA from 1 species